AUGUAUGCAAUGUUGUGUACCAGACCUGAUGUGUCCCUGGCUAUAAGUUUAGCAGGGAGGUACCAAAGUAAUCCAGGAGUGGAUCACUGGACAGCGGUCAAGAACAUCCUGAAAUACCUGAAAAGGACUAAGGAUAUGUUUCUCGUAUAUGGAGGUGACAAAGAGCUCAUCGUAAAUGGUUACGUUGAUGCAAGCUUUGACACUGAUCCGGACGAUUCGAAAUCGCAAACCGGAUACGUAUUUACAUUGAACGGUGGAGCUGUCAGUUGGUGCAGUUCCAAGCAAAGUGUCGUGGCGGGAUCUACGUGUGAAGCGGAAUACAUAGCUGCUUCGGAAGCAGCGAAUGAAGGAGUCUGGAUGAAGGAGUUCAUAACCGAUCUAGGUGUCAUACCUAGUACAUCGGGACCAAUGAAAAUCUUUUGUGAUAAUACUGGUGCAAUUGCCUUAGCAAAGGAAUCCAGAUUUCACAAGAGAACCAAGCACAUCAGAAGACGCUUCAAUUCCAUCCGGGAUUUAGUCUAG
rnacentral:rRNA from 1 species